rnacentral:rRNA from 1 species
UGCAAGUCGAACGGCAGCACAGAGGAGCUUGCUCCUUGGGUGGCGAGUGGCGGACGGGUGAGGAAUACGUCGGAAUCUGCCUAUUUGUGGGGGAUAACGUAGGGAAACUUACGCUAAUACCGCAUACGACCUACGGGUGAAAGCGGAGGACCUUCGGGCUUCGCGCAGAUAGAUGAGCCGACGUCGGAUUAGCUAGUUGGCGGGGUAAAGGCCCACCAAGGCGACGAUCCGUAGCUGGUCUGAGAGGAUGAUCAGCCACACUGGAACUGAGACACGGUCCAGACUCCUACGGGAGGCAGCAGUGGGGAAUAUUGGACAAUGGGCGCAAGCCUGAUCCAGCCAUGCCGCGUGUGUGAAGAAGGCCUUCGGGUUGUAAAGCACUUUUGUCCGGAAAGAAAAGUUCCCGGUUAAUACCCGGGGGUCAUGACGGUACCGGAAGAAUAAGCACCGGCUAACUUCGUGCCAGCAGCCGCGGUAAUACGAAGGGUGCAAGCGUUACUCGGAAUUACUGGGCGUAAAGCGUGCGUAGGUGGUUUGUUAAGUCUGAUGUGAAAGCCCUGGGCUCAACCUGGGAAUGGCAUUGGAAACUGGCUGACUAGAGUGCGGUAGAGGGGUGUGGAAUUCCCGGUGUAGCGGUGA